rnacentral:rRNA from 1 species
ACCCGCACAAGCGGUGGAUGAUGUGGAUUAAUUCGAUGCAACGCGAAAACCUUUACCUACCCUUGACAUGUCUGGAAUGCCGAAGAGAUUUGGCAGUGCUCGCAAGAGAACCGGAACACAGGUGCUGCAUGGCUGUCGUCAGCUCGUGUCGUGAGAUGUUGGGUUAAGUCCCGCAACGAGCGCAACCCUUGUCAUUAGUUGCUACAUUCAGUUGGGCACUCUAAUGAGACUGCCGGUGACAAGCCGGAGGAAGGUGGGGAUGACGUCAAGUCCUCAUGGCCCUUAUAGGUGGGGCUACACACGUCAUACAAUGGCUGGUACAAAGGGUUGCCAACCCGCGAGGGGGAGGCCAAUCCCAUAAAGCCAGUCGUAGUCCGGAUCGUAGUCUGCAACUCGACUACGUGAAGUCGGAAUCGCUAGUAAUCGUGGAUCAGAAUGUCACGGUGAAUACGUUCCCGGGUCUU